CGCUCUCGAUGUAGCUAUGUAACGAUGUAACUCUCCCUUUAGGAGUCCAGCAAUUACCAUCUGCUGUUGAACAUCCAUUAUCCUGUAACAUCCUUUGUUGUUUUAUUAUGUAUCAGUAACUAAGAAUAAACCUGAAGAAACCAUAAGUCAGAUUGCGUAUUAGUACUUUUCAUUAAUAUAGAUGUAUAUUAAUGUAGCGAGCCUUUAACCCAAGACCAUAUAUACAAAAGACGUAUACAUCAAUCAAAUUGAAAAAGACACAGAAGAAGAAACGAAGAUUUAUGAUGCACUUUGGCAAAGUGAUAAUGAGGUAAACACACCUGGCAUGAGUGGUGCUGAGGAUGGCGCAUCCGAUAAUGAAACCAGUGCAGAAUCUUCGGACACAGAAAAUUAGUACAUUUUGUACACUGUUAUACACUCAGACACAUUACAGGGAGUAUUAUUACUGUGGAGCUCUGUUAUACACUCAGACACAUUACUGGGAGUAUUAUUGCUGUGGAGCUCUGUUAUACACUCACACACACAUUACUGGGAGUAUUAUUGCUGUGGAGCUCUGCUAUACAUUCAGACACAUUACUGGGAGUAUUAUUGCCGUGGAGCUCUGUUAUACACUCACACACACAUUACUGGGAGUAUUAUUGCUGUGGAGCUCUGUUAUACACUGAGACACAUUACUGGGAGUAUUAUUGCUGUGGAGCUCUGUUAUACACUCAGACACAUUACUGGGAGUAUUAUUGCUGUGGAGCUCUGUUAUACACUCAGACACAUUACUGGGAGUAUCAUUGCUGUGGAGCUCUGUUAUACACUCAGACACAUUACUGGGAGUACUAUUGCUGUGGGGCUCUGUUAUACACUCAGACACAUUACUGGGAGUACUAUUGCUGUGGGGCUCUGUUAUACACUCUGACACAUUACUGGGAGUAUUAUUGCUGUGGAGCUCUGUUAUACACUCAGACACAUUACAGGGAGUAUUAUUGCUGUGGGGCUCUGUUAUACACUCUGACACAUUACUGGGAGUAUUAUUGCUGGGGAGCUCUGUUAUACACUCAGUCACAUUACUGGGAGUAUUAUUGCUGUGGAGCUCUGUUAUAUACUUAGACACAGUAACAAUAUGGGAUUUGGACUGAAAUAGGGACUGUCCCUUCUAAACAGGGACACUUGGGUGGUAUGUUACUUCUGCAAAGAUUACAAGUCCCCAGAUCACAGAAUGGGCACUGUACUAGAUACAUUAACCCCGAGCACCCAAAAUCCAAAAUAUCUGCAAUUUGGCUUCCAAACCAAGCGUCACAGAGCUCCACAGCAAUGUGUAAUGUGUAAUUGUUUGAUAGUAUCACAGAGCUCCACAGCAAUACAACUCACAGUUAUGUAUGAUGUAUAUGAGUGUAUCACAGAGCUCCACCGCAAUAUAACUUACAAUAAUGUGUAUUGUGUGGAAUCAAUUGCAUUAUUGUGUGUGAGGUGCUAUCCAGAGCACAUUCUUUUAAACUCCUCUAAAAGAGUCAAAGCAAGGGUCGUUCCUCUUUAAUUAACAUCAUUAUCGUCCAAGAGACACAUACAUUAUUAUUAAUAUUCAUUUGCAGUCUGAGCAAUAUAUCAGCAUUUAUCGGGGAGCGAUACAGCUUGCCCAUUGUUCCACGUAUUAUUCCUAAUCCUCCGAUAGCUGGAUUUAAUUGUGAAGAAUGAAUUUCUUUGUGUGAAAAAGGUCAGUUCAGAGACCCCCCCCCAGCACCAAGGGGGCAUGGAAUGCAUCUAGUAGUUGUUGCAAUACAUGUUAGUCAUCCAGGCCAAGCUAUGACGGGGUGAGAAGGCAAGUAGAUUCCUGAAAUUGGAUCCCUGUCAGCAAGAUGGCUGCACUGAAAGGGUUAAUGCACAAUUAGGGCCAGGCCUUGAUGGGUUAAUACAAACCCAGGGUUAAUACAUAAUCAGGACCAGACUGAAAAUGAGAAACUAGGUCAAUCAGCACAGUAACACAUGGGCUGUGUCUGUUUAUAUCCCAUAAUCAGGAGGGGAGCAAAGUUGGCAUCCACAGGGUUAAUUAAUGACGUGAGGAUUGCUGGGAAUUUACAGUGAGCCACUGAGGUAAGCAGGGUCACCUCAUCUCAGUGACAUAGUCUGGGUGCACUGGCAGGACCGGGGCAAGGAUUUUUGCCCCCCCAUUCUUUCCACCCACUCAUGCAGACUUACACCCUGUUCCAAAUUAUUAUGCAAAUUCUAUGUAAGUGUCACAAAGAUUAAAUAUUUUGUUUUUCAGUUUAACUCAUGGAUGGCAUUGUCUAUCAGAGCUCUUUUGAUCACUGAAAACAAUCUCGGACAC